rnacentral:rRNA from 1 species
CCUACGGGAGGCAGCAGUGGGGAAUAUUGGGCAAUGGGCGCAAGCCUGACCCAGCAACGCCGCGUGAAGGAAGAAGGCUUUCGGGUUGUAAACUUCUUUUCUGAGGGACGAAGAAAGUGACGGUACCUCAGGAAUAAGCCACGGCUAACUACGUGCCAGCAGCCGCGGUAAUACGUAGGUGGACAGCGUUAUCCGGAUUUCGUGGGGGUAAAGGGCGGGUAGGCGGGAAAGCAAGUCAGAUGUGAAAACUCAGGGCUCAACCCUGAGCCUGCAUUUGAAACUGUUUUUCUGGAGUGCUGGAGAGGCAAUCGGAAUUCCGUGGGUAGCGGUGAAAUGCGUAGAUAUACGGAGGAACACCAGUGGCGAAGGUGGAUUGCUGGACAGUAACUGACGCUGAGGCGCGAAAGCGUGGGGAGCAAACAGGAUUAGAUACCCCGGUAGUC